UUCCCACACGGUCAUAUCUCGAUGUUACAGCGCUUGUUUACGGAAAACGAGGUGACCACCUGUGCUAAUUAGUUGUCUAGCAUGCUCCGAACACCUGUGUGUGUGUGUAAGUGUAGCUUCGUUGGAGGCACCCAUAGCUGGAUGGAACUGAAAAAACUGCUACAUUUAAUGUAUCGUUUUUAUUUGAAAGAUUCUUUCUCGCUGAUGAGUGAUAAGGGCAAGGGCGCAACUUCGGUUUUAGUAGUUUUUUGGGGGGCAUCUAAAGCUAAUGUCCUGCAUUUUUACCCAAUCUAAUAUGACCCAUGGCCCUUCGAGCUGUGUCUAUUUAGAACAACAAAAAGCAAAACAUGCCCAGUCAUCAAACAAGCGUGUCGUCCAGGGAGUUGGAGCCAGAGCCUAUGGAGGAAGAGUCCUGGCUGUCCAGAGGAAGCGCCAGGAAGCCCUCGCUGGACUCGGAGCGCGUGGGCGUCAGUGUCAGGGAACGCAUCCGCUCCCGACUCCUCGGCUUGAUCAGCUUCUUCAUCUUCAGGGUGAUCCAAUUCUCUCGUCUGAGAUGAGAGAGAGAUAGUUUUGUAAUUAGGGUAAAUUAUUUGACUCUGGGUAGUGUUCAGUAGGCACAAAAAGAGCGGAAAUCUUUUUGAAUUAAGGGAUCUAUUCCCAUUUUGUGCCUUAUUGAACCAGCAUCUGGGGUGUUCUUGCAAACCACAGCCUCCCAAUUCCCCAGAGUCAGCUAUGAUGAUGGUGGUUAGGCAUAAAGAUGAACCAGAGCUUCUUGGUUAAUUUGAACCAUAUGCAGGAGUUGGUUAGGUUCAGACCAUAUGCAUUAAGUCAGGCAUGGAAAUGAAUCAGAACUGAAUGGUUAAGCACAUACGAUCCAGGGCAGUUGGUUAUGCAAUGGAAUUAACCAUAACCAGACAACUGCAGAAAUCCACCGCGGUUCUACAUUUCAUUUUCAUGUGGGGGAUGUCAGCUUUGUCUCAGUCAGCUGUUUACUACGACAGAGGCUGAUAUGGUCAAAGCACCAGCCACAAUGAUAGCAGUGGACUCCUCCUAGCUACUUACCUCCGUGGAGGAGAGGGGUCAUAAAACUUGUACUGGUCCAUGAUCUUCUCUUCAAGCUUCUCCUUCUGUCUCCUCAACUCGUUCAGCUUGUCACUGAAGGAGGGAAAGACCAGUUAGGCACAGGAACAAAUGACAUCUAUCUACAUAGCCAAGAAACAGACAUCUCUUUCUUAUUGAAAUGUUAACUUGAACACUGGUUACAAAAUGUAAUAGUGGGGUCAUCUCUCACAUGUACUGUCUCUGUUCUACGUGGAACAAGUCCUUGCUCUCCAUGGUCUGUUCUAGCAAGGUGCGGUUCUGCAGCAUCAGGGUCUGGAUCUGGUCCAGCAGGUGACGGUUCUCCUCCUCCAGGUUCCCCUUCAACUGACUCAGCAACUAGGAUAUGAAGUCACCUGUCUCCAGCAGGAAAUACCAGGGGAUGGGGGGGGAAGUGUUGGCUUAAGGUAAUUCUUAAGUGAGGACGGACAUGCAUGACUCUUCUCUCCUCCCCGCCGAAAACGAUCCGGCCCCAGCAGCACAGACCUCUGCCUGCCACGCCACCCCUGCCCAUGAAAGCUUCUCCCUGGGCGGCAACAAGACAGCAGUUCGUCCUGGACCAAGGCCACAGCCAAUGUCUAUUGAUGGGCUACUGGCCAAGCACCACAGGGAGAUCCAGAAGCGAGUGGAUACCGCCGGCCGUCUGUACAAGUUCUGCCACCAGCCACUGAAAGGUCCUAACAGCCCUCCAACACAUACCGGCUUUCCUGGAGUGGCAGGAAAAUAUCUACUGCCUAGCCCAAGUGUCCAUGGUAUUGGAGGGAGAUUCAACAGUCUGCCUUUAAUAAGACUGGAAAGCAGAGAUGGAUGGUGGAGAAUGGGGAGUGACUCUACAGACACACAGAAAUAAAUAAGAGCUGAAGAUCUUUCCAUUGAUGGAAGUGGUUUGUUUGAUGUAUUUAUUUGACAGGUACUGUUCAUUCUAUUACAUUACAUGCAGUACUUCAGAAAAGUAUUCAUACCCCUUAUUCCACAUUUUGUUGUGUUACAGCCUGAAUUUAAAACGUGCUGACGAACACAGAAAUCUCUCAUUUAUAGAAAAUCACCUUUGGCAGCAAUGACAGCUAUGAGAGCUUUGCACACUUGGGAUUGUACAAUAUUUGCUAUUAUUUUUAUAAUUCUGCAAGCUUUUUCAAGUUGAUUGUUGAUAAUUACUAGACAGACAUUUUCAAGCCAAUUUAGGUCAAACUGUAACUAGGCCACUCAGGAGCAUUCAAUGUCGUCUUGGUAAGCAACUCCAGUGCAUAAUUGGCCUUGUGUUCUAGUUUGUCCUGCUGAAAGAUGAAUUUGUCUCCCAAUGUCUGUUGGAAAGUAGACAAUCAGGUUUUCCUCUAGGAAUUUGCCUGUGCUUAGCUUUAUUCCCAUUCUUUCUAUCCACAAAAAAAGCUCCCUAGUCCUUGUCAAUGACAAGCAUACCCAUAACAUGAUGAAGCCACCACCAUGCUUGAAAAUAUGAAGAGUGGUACUCAAUGUGUGUUGGAUUUGCCCCAAAACAUUAUGCUUUGUAUUCAGGAUAAACAUUCAAAUUCUUUGCAACAUUCUUUGCAGAUUUACUUCAGUGCCAUACAGGAUUCAUGUUUUGGAAUAUUUUUAUUCUGUACAGGCUUCCUUUACACUCUGUCAAUUAGCUUAGUAUUGUGGAGUAACUAAACUCAGCAAAAAAAGAAAUGUCCCUAUUUCAGGACCCUGUCUUUCAAAGAUAAUUUGUAAAAAUCCAAAUAACUUCACAGAUCUUCAUUGUAAAGGUGUUUAAACACCGUUCCCAUGGUUCAAUAAACCAUAAACUAUUAAUGAACAUGCACCUGUGGAACAGUUGUUAAGACACUAACAGCUUCCAAAUGGUAGGUAAUUAAGGUCACAGUUAUGAAAACUUAGGACACUAAAGAGGCCUUUCUACUGACUCUGGAAAAACACCAAAAGAAAGAUACCCAGGGUGCCUGCUCAUCAACGGGAAUGUGCCUUCGGCAUGCUGCAAGGAGCCAUGAGGACUGCAGAUGUGGCUAGGGAAAUAAAUUGCAAUGUCCAUACUGUGAGACUCCUAAGACAGCACUACAGGGAGACAGGACGGACAGCUGAUGGUCCUCGCAGUAGCAGACCACGUGUAACAACACCUGCACAGGAUCAGUACAUCCGAACAUCACACCUGCGGACAGGUACAGGAUGGCUACAACAACUGCCCCAGAUACACCAGGAACGCAAGUUCCCUCCAUCAGUACUCAGACUGUCCGCAAUAGGCGGAGGGCUUGUAGGCCUGUUGUAAGGCAGGUCCUCAACAGACAUCGCCGGCAACAACGUUGUCUGCGGGCACAAACCCACCGUCGCUGGACCAG